GAGUUUGAUCCUGGCUCAGGACGAACGCUGGCGGCGUGCCUAAUACAUGCAAGUAGAACGCUGAAGGAGGAGCUUGCUUCUCUGGAUGAGUUGCGAACGGGUGAGUAACGCGUAGGUAACCUGCCUGGUAGCGGGGGAUAACUAUUGGAAACGAUAGCUAAUACCGCAUAAGAGUGGAUGUUGCAUGACAUUUGCUUAAAAGGUGCACUUGCAUCACUACCAGAUGGACCUGCGUUGUAUUAGCUAGUUGGUGGGGUAACGGCUCACCAAGGCGACGAUACAUAGCCGACCUGAGAGGGUGAUCGGCCACACUGGGACUGAGACACGGCCCAGACUCUACGGGAGGCAGCAGUAGGGAAUCUUCGGCAAUGGACGGAAGUCUGACCGAGCAACGCCGCGUGAGUGAAGAAGGUUUUCGGAUCGUAAAGCUCUGUUGUAAGAGAAGAAUGAGUGUGAGAGUGGAAAGUUCACACUGUGACGGUAUCUUACCAGAAAGGGACGGCUAACUACGUGCCAGCAGCCGCGGUAAUACGUAGGUCCCGAGCGUUGUCCGGAUUUAUUGGGCGUAAAGCGAGCGCAGGCGGUUAGAUAAGUCUGAAGUUAAAGGCUGUGGCUUAACCAUAGUAGGCUUUGGAAACUGUUUAACUUGAGUGCAAGAGGGGAGAGUGGAAUUCCAUGUGUAGCGGUGAAAUGCGUAGAUAUAUGGAGGAACACCGGUGGCGAAAGCGGCUCUCUGGCUUGUAACUGACGCUGAGGCUCGAAAGCGUGGGGAGCAAACAGGAUUAGAUACCCUGGUAGUCCACGCUGUAAACGAUGAGUGCUAGGUGUUAGACCCUUUCCGGGGUUUAGUGCCGUAGUCUAACGCAUUAAGCACUCCGCCUGGGGAGUACGACCGCAAGGUUGAAACUCAAAGGAAUUGACGGGGGCCCGCACAAGCGGUGGAGCAUGUGGUUUAAUUCGAAGCAACGCGAAGAACCUUACCAGGUCUUGACAUCCCUCUGACCGCUCUAGAGAUAGAGCUUUCCUUCGGGACAGAGGUGACAGGUGGUGCAUGGUUGUCGUCAGCUCGUGUCGUGAGAUGUUGGGUUAAGUCCCGCAACGAGCGCAACCCCUAUUGUUAGUUGCCAUCAUUUAGUUGGGCACUCUAGCGAGACUGCCGGUAAUAAACCGGAGGAAGGUGGGGAUGACGUCAAAUCAUCAUGCCCCUUAUGACCUGGGCUACACACGUGCUACAAUGGCUGGUACAACGAGUCGCAAGCCGGUGACGGCAAGCUAAUCUCUUAAAGCCAGUCUCAGUUCGGAUUGUAGGCUGCAACUCGCCUACAUGAAGUCGGAAUCGCUAGUAAUCGCGGAUCAGCACGCCGCGGUGAAUACGUUCCCGGGCCUUGUACACACCGCCCGUCACACCACGAGAGUUUGUAACACCCGAAGUCGGUGAGGUAACCGUAAGGAGCCAGCCGCCUAAGGUGGGAUAGAUGAUUGGGGUGAAGUCGUAACAAGGUAGCCGUAUCGGAAGGUGCGGCUGGAUCACC
rnacentral:rRNA from 1 species